rnacentral:rRNA from 1 species
UACGUAGGGAGCGAGCGUUGUCCGGAUUUACUGGGCGUAAAGAGCGCACAGGCGGUCGUUCAAGUCGAGUGUGAAAGCCCCCGGCUCAACUGGGGAGGGUCACUCGAUACUGAUCGACUGGAAAGGCAGGAGAGGGAAGCGGAAUUCCCGGUGUAGUGGUGAAAAUGCGUAGAUAUCGAGAGGAACACCGGUGGCGAAGGCGGCCUUCUGGACAGUGACUGACGCUGAGACGCGAAAGCGUGGGGAGCAAACAGG